GAUGAACGCUGGCGGCGUGCCUAAUACAUGCCAGUCGAGCGAACAGACGAGGAGCUUGCUCCUCUGACGUUAGCGGCGGACGGGUGAGUAACACGUGGAUAACCUACCUAUAAGACUGGGAUAACUUCGGGAAACCGGAGCUAAUACCGGAUAAUAUAUUGAACCGCAUGGUUCAAUAGUGAAAGACGGUUUUGCUGUCACUUAUAGAUGGAUCCGCGCCGCAUUAGCUAGUUGGUAAGGUAACGGCUUACCAAGGCAACGAUGCGUAGCCGACCUGAGAGGGUGAUCGGCCACACUGGAACUGAGACACGGUCCAGACUCCUACGGGAGGCAGCAGUAGGGAAUCUUCCGCAAUGGGCGAAAGCUUGACGGAGCAACGCCGCGUGAGUGAUGAAGGUCUUCGGAUCGUAAAACUCUGUUAUUAGGGAAGAACAAAUGUGUAAGUAACUAUGCACGUCUUGACGGUACCUAAUCGGAAAGCCACGGCUAACUACGUG
rnacentral:rRNA from 1 species